rnacentral:rRNA from 1 species
GCGUAAUAGCUCACUGGUCGAGUCGGCCUGCGCGGAAGAUGUAACGGGGCUAAACCAUGCACCGAAGCUGCGGCAGCGACACUAUGUGUUGUUGGGUAGGGGAGCGUUCUGUAAGCCUGUGAAGGUGUGCUGUGAGGCAUGCUGGAGGUAUCAGAAGUGCGAAUGCUGACAUAAGUAACGAUAAAGCGGGUGAAAAGCCCGCUCGCCGGAAGAC